GAGUUUGAUCUUGGCUCAGAACGAACGUUAGCGGCGCGCCUAAUACAUGCAAGUCGAGCGAGAAAGGGCUUCGGCCCCGGUAAAGCGGCGCACGGGUGAGUAACACGUAGGUAUCUGCCUUCGAGUGGUGGACAACCCUCCGAAAGGAGGGCUAAUACAGCAUAACGUCAGCAAUGACCAAAGCGGGCCUCUCCAUGGAAGCUCGCGCUUGAAGGUGAGCCUGCGGCCCAUCAGCUAGUUGGCGGGGUAACAGCCCACCAAGGCUAAGACGGGUAGCUGGUCUGAGAGGAUGAACAGCCACACUGGAACUGAGACACGGUCCAGACUCCUACGGGAGGCAGCAGUAGGGAAUCUUCCGCAAUGGGCGAAAGCCUGACGGAGCGACGCCGCGUGAGCGAUGAAGGCCUUCGGUU
rnacentral:rRNA from 1 species